AUGGAGCGGGCGGAAGCCGACGGAGAAGACUCAAUUUGUCUAGCCAAUGUUUCCUUUGGGAAAUGGCUUCGUUCCGCGUGUGGACUCACACUGUGGCAUGUCUGCAAACACUGCUGUGGUUUCUGUGGAGCUGUGUGUAUUAGGUCUGACUUUGCUGUUUGCUGGAAUGAGGAGCAGAGACCCCAAACACACAGGAAGAGCAGACUGGCAUCGCCUCGGCCUCGUGCUGGAGAAGGGACCACACAGACUUGGCCUGGGUUCAGCAAAUCUCAACUCCUUAAAAUGGAAUAACUUAGAGUUUAAGACAUAUCAAAAGUGUAAACAUAGUUGCUGACCUGAGUAGUUUUUAUGGGGGGAGGUAAUCCUUUGAGAGAAUUCAUCUAUCUAUACCUUAUGAUUUGUGCAAUUUUCUAUAUGAAUGUUAUGUAUCAAUAAAACAUUUGAAACUGAAAAGUCAAGGAGCUGUCCAUUCUUUUGGUAAUUCGGGAGAUAGAGGUACAUCCUCAUUCCCUCUCCUCUCACAUCGCGUGAGCAUAGCCUCCCCUGAUAUAGCUCUUGGGCAUGGGGUGGAGCACUUCCACCGAAGGGUAUGGACUUGCAUUGUCAUCACUGGGAAGAG
rnacentral:lncRNA from 10 species